AUGGGGGGACCAUCCUCCAAGGCUAAAUACUCCUGACUGACCGAUAGUGAACCAGUACCGUGAGGGAAAGGCGAAAAGAACCCCUGUGAGGGGAGUGAAAUAGAACCUGAAACCGUGUACGUACAAGCAGUAGGAGCACCUUCGUGGUGUGACUGCGUACCUUUUGUAUAAUGGGUCAGCGACUUAUAUUCAGUGGCAAGGUUAACCGUAUAGGGGAGCCGUAGCGAAAGCGAGUCUUAACUGGGCGCUCAGUCUCUGGAUAUAGACCCGAAACCGGGUGAUCUAGCCAUGGGCAGGUUGAAGGUUGAGUAACAUCAACUGGAGGACCGAACCGACUAAUGUUGAAAAAUUAGCGGAUGACUUGUGGCUAGGGGUGAAAGGCCAAUCAAACUCGGAGAUAGCUGGUUCUCCCCGAAAGCUAUUUAGGUAGCGCCUCGGACGAAUACUACUGGGGGUAGAGCACUGUUAAGGCUAGGGGGUCAUCCCGACUUACCAACCCUUUGCAAACUCCGAAUACCAGUAAGUACUAUCCGGGAGACACACGGCGGGUGCUAACGUCCGUCGUGGAGAGGGAAACAACCCAGACCGCCAGCUAAGGUCCCAAAGUAUUGCUAAGUGGGAAACGAUGUGGGAAGGCUCAGACAGCUAGGAUGUUGGCUUAGAAGCAGCCAUCAUUUAAAGAAAGCGUAAUAGCUCACUAGUCGAGUCGGCCUGCGCGGAAGAUGUAACGGGGCUAAGCAAUACACCGAAGCUGCGGCAAUGUCUUUUAGACAUUGGGUAGGGGAGCGUUCUGUAAGCCGUUGAAGGUGAAUCGUAAGGUUUGCUGGAGGUAUCAGAAGUGCGAAUGCUGACAUGAGUAACGACAAAGGGGGUGAAAAACCUCCUCGCCGGAAGACCAAGGGUUCCUGUCCAACGUUAAUCGGGGCAGGGUGAGUCGACCCCUAAGGUGAGGCCGAAAGGCGUAAUCGAUGGGAAACGGGUUAAUAUUCCCGUACUUCUGACUAUUGCGAUGGGGGGACGGAGAAGGCUAGGUGGGCCAGGCGACGGUUGUCCUGGUUCAAGUGCGUAGGCUUGAGAGUUAGGUAAAUCCGGCUCUCUCUAAGGCUGAGACACGACGUCGAGCUGCUACGGCAGUGAAGUCAUUGAUGCCAUGCUUCCAGGAAAAGCCUCUAAGCUUCAGAUAGUCAGGAAUCGUACCCCAAACCGACACAGGUGGUCGGGUAGAGAAUACCAAGGCGCUUGAGAGAACUCGGGUGAAGGAACUAGGCAAAAUGGUACCGUAACUUCGGGAGAAGGUACGCUCUUGAUGGUGAAGUCCCUCGCGGAUGGAGCUGACGAGAGUCGCAGAUACCAGGUGGCUGCAACUGUUUAUUAAAAACACAGCACUGUGCAAAAUCGCAAGAUGACGUAUACGGUGUGACGCCUGCCCGGUGCCGGAAGGUUAAUUGAUGGGGUUAGCGCAAGCGAAGCUCUUGAUCGAAGCCCCGGUAAACGGCGGCCGUAACUAUAACGGUCCUAAGGUAGCGAAAUUCCUUGUCGGGUAAGUUCCGACCUGCACGAAUGGCGUAAUGAUGGCCACGCUGUCUCCACCCGAGACUCAGUGAAAUUGAAAUCGCUGUGAAGAUGCAGUGUACCCGCGGCUAGACGGAAAGACCCCGUGAACCUUUACUACAGCUUGGCACUGAACAUUGAACCUACAUGUGUAGGAUAGGUGGGAGGCUAUGAAGACGUGACGCCAGUUGCGUUGGAGCCGUCCUUGAAAUACCACCCUUGUAUGUUUGAUGUUCUAACUUAGCCCCAUUAUCUGGGGUGAGGACAGUGCCUGGUGGGUAGUUUGACUGGGGCGGUCUCCUCCCAAAGAGUAACGGAGGAGCACGAAGGUGGGCUAAUCACGGUUGGACAUCGUGAGGUUAGUGCAAUGGCAUAAGCCCGCUUAACUGCGAGAAUGACGGUUCGAGCAGGUGCGAAAGCAGGUCAUAGUGAUCCGGUGGUUCUGUAUGGAAGGGCCAUCGCUCAACGGAUAAAAGGUACUCCGGGGAUAACAGGCUGAUACCGCCCAAGAGUUCAUAUCGACGGCGGUGUUUGGCACCUCGAUGUCGGCUCAUCACAUCCUGGGGCUGAAGUCGGUCCCAAGGGUAUGGCUGUUCGCCAUUUAAAGUGGUACGCGAGCUGGGUUUAGAACGUCGUGAGACAGUUCGGUCCCUAUCUGCCGUGGGCGUUGGAAGAUUGAAGGGGGCUGCUCCUAGUACGAGAGGACCGGAGUGGACGAACCUCUGGUGUUCGGGUUGUGUCGCCAGACGCAUUGCCCGGUAGCUAAGUUCGGAAUUGAUAAGCGCUGAAAGCAUCUAAGCGCGAAGCGAGCCCUGAGAUGAGUCUUCCCUGAUACUUUAAGUAUCCUAAAGGGUUGUUCGAGACUAGAACGUUGAUAGGCAGGGUGUGUAAGCGUUGUGAGGCGUUGAGCUAACCUGUACUAAUUGCCCGUGAGGCUUAACCA
rnacentral:rRNA from 1 species